rnacentral:other from 1 species
CAUCCUCUGCCGUGUCCGACAGCGUACGCUUACAUAUUGCCUUGACCCUAAUGAAUGACCCCGGGAAUGCGACAUUGUGCCGGCGUGCAUGUCCGCCAACGUGCGGGAAGCCCGAAGCGCAACGAGCCUUCCCACCUGAUCCUCUGGGAUCAAGGUCGUUUGGUACGCAUCGCCACGGCGGAGGUUGC